AUUGAACGCUGGCGGCAGGCCUAACACAUGCAAGUCGAGCGAAGCGGCGGAUGGGUGAGUAACGCGUGGGUAACCUGCCCUUAAGUCUGGGAUACAAUUUGGAAACAGAUUCUAAUACCGGAUACUAAAGGAUGGACCUGCGAUGCAUUAGCUAGUUGGUAAGGUAACGGCUUACAAAGGCGAUGAUGCAUAGUGUAGUUGAGAGACGGAACGGCCACAUUGGGAUGGAGAAACGGCCCAAACUCCUACGGGAGGAUGCAGUAGGGAAUCUUCCACAAGGGACGAAAGUCUGAUGGAGAAACGCCGCGGGAGUGAAGAAGGUUUUCGGAUCGUAAGGCUUUGUUGUUGGUGAAGCGGUAAUCAACCAGAAAGUCACGGCUAACUACGUGCCAGCAGCCGCGGUAAUUC
rnacentral:rRNA from 1 species